rnacentral:rRNA from 1 species
UUAAGCGACUAAGCGUACACGGUGGAUGCCCUGGCAGUCAGAGGCGAUGAAGGACGUGCUAAUCUGCGAUAAGCGUCGGUAAGGUGAUAUGAACCGUUAUAACCGGCGAUUUCCGAAUGGGGAAACCCAGUGUGAUUCGUCACACUAUCAUUAACUGAAUCCAUAGGUUAAUGAGGCGAACCGGGGGAACUGAAACAUCUAAGUACCCCGAGGAAAAGACAUCAACCGAGAUUCCCCCAGUAGCGGCGAGCGAACGGGGAGCAGCCCAGAGCCUGAAUCAGUGUGUGUGUUAGUGGAAGCGUCUGGAAAGGCGUGCGAUACAGGGUGACAGCCCCGUACACAAAAAUGCACAUGCUGUGAGCUCGAUGAGUAGGGCGGGACACGUGGUAUCCUGUCUGAAUAUGGGGGGACCAUCCUCCAAGGCUAAAUACUCCUGACUGACCGAUAGUGAACCAGUACCGUGAGGGAAAGGCGAAAAGAACCCCGGCGAGGGGAGUGAAAAAGAACCUGAAACCGUGUACGUACAAGCAGUGGGAGCACGCUUAGGCGUGUGACUGCGUACCUUUUGUAUAAUGGGUCAGCGACUUAUAUUCUGUAGCAAGGUUAACCGAAUAGGGGAGCCGAAGGGAAACCGAGUCUUAACUGGGCGUUAAGUUGCAGGGUAUAGACCCGAAACCCGGUGAUCUAGCCAUGGGCAGGUUGAAGGUUGGGUAACACUAACUGGAGGACCGAACCGACUAAUGUUGAAAAAUUAGCGGAUGACUUGUGGCUGGGGGUGAAAGGCCAAUCAAACCGGGAGAUAGCUGGUUCUCCCCGAAAGCUAUUUAGGUAGCGCCUCGUGAAUUCAUCUCCGGGGGUAGAGCACUGUUUCGGCAAGGGGGUCAUCCCGACUUACCAACCCGAUGCAAACUGCGAAUACCGGAGAAUGUUAUCACGGGAGACACACGGCGGGUGCUAACGUCCGUCGUGAAGAGGGAAACAACCCAGACCGCCAGCUAAGGUCCCAAAGUCAUGGUUAAGUGGGAAACGAUGUGGGAAGGCCCAGACAGCCAGGAUGUUGGCUUAGAAGCAGCCAUCAUUUAAAGAAAGCGUAAUAGCUCACUGGUCGAGUCGGCCUGCGCGGAAGAUGUAACGGGGCUAAACCAUGCACCGAAGCUGCGGCAGCGACACUAUGUGUUGUUGGGUAGGGGAGCGUUCUGUAAGCCUGUGAAGGUGUACUGUGAGGUAUGCUGGAGGUAUCAGAAGUGCGAACUGCUGACAUAAGUAACGAUAAAGCGGGUGAAAAGCCCGCUCGCCGGAAGACCAAGGGUUCCUGUCCAACGUUAAUCGGGGCAGGGUGAGUCGACCCCUAAGGCGAGGCCGAAAGGCGUAGUCGAUGGGAAACAGGUUAAUAUUCCUGUACUUGGUGUUACUGCGAAGGGGGGACGGAGAAGGCUAUGUUGGCCGGGCGACGGUUGUCCCGGUUUAAGCGUGUAGGCUGGUUUUCCAGGCAAAUCCGGAAAAUCAAGGCUGAGGCGUGAUGACGAGGCACUACGGUGCUGAAGCAACAAAUGCCCUGCUUCCAGGAAAAGCCUCUAAGCAUCAGGUAACAUCAAAUCGUACCCCAAACCGACACAGGUGGUCAGGUAGAGAAUACCAAGGCGCUUGAGAGAACUCGGGUGAAGGAACUAGGCAAAAUGGUGCCGUAACUUCGGGAGAAGGCACGCUGAUAUGUAGGUGAAGUCCCUCGCGGAUGGAGCUGAAAUCAGUCGAAGAUACCAGCUGGCUGCAACUGUUUAUUAAAAACACAGCACUGUGCAAACACGAAAGUGGACGUAUACGGUGUGACGCCUGCCCGGUGCCGGAAGGUUAAUUGAUGGGGUUAGCGCAAGCGAAGCUCUUGAUCGAAGCCCCGGUAAACGGCGGCCGUAACUAUAACGGUCCUAAGGUAGCGAAAUUCCUUGUCGGGUAAGUUCCGACCUGCACGAAUGGCGUAAUGAUGGCCAGGCUGUCUCCACCCGAGACUCAGUGAAAUUGAACUCGCUGUGAAGAUGCAGUGUACCCGCGGCAAGACGGAAAGACCCCGUGAACCUUUACUAUAGCUUGACACUGAACAUUGAGCCUUGAUGUGUAGGAUAGGUGGGAGGCUUUGAAGUGUGGACGCCAGUCUGCAUGGAGCCGGCCUUGAAAUACCACCCUUUAAUGUUUGAUGUUCUAACGUUGACCCGUGAUCCGGGUUGCGGACAGUGUCUGGUGGGUAGUUUGACUGGGGCGGUCUCCUCCUAAAGAGUAACGGAGGAGCACGAAGGUUGGCUAAUCCUGGUCGGACAUCAGGAGGUUAGUGCAAUGGCAUAAGCCAGCUUGACUGCGAGCGUGACGGCGCGAGCAGGUGCGAAAGCAGGUCAUAGUGAUCCGGUGGUUCUGAAUGGAAGGGCCAUCGCUCAACGGAUAAAAGGUACUCCGGGGAUAACAGGCUGAUACCGCCCAAGAGUUCAUAUCGACGGCGGUGUUUGGCACCUCGAUGUCGGCUCAUCACAUCCUGGGGCUGAAGUAGGUCCCAAGGGUAUGGCUGUUCGCCAUUUAAAGUGGUACGCGAGCUGGGUUUAGAACGUCGUGAGACAGUUCGGUCCCUAUCUGCCGUGGGCGCUGGAGAACUGAGGGGGCUGCUCCUAGUACGAGAGGACCGGAGUGGACGCAUCACUGGUGUUCGGGUUGUCAUGCCAAUGGCACUGCCCGGUAGCUAAAUGCGGAAGAGAUAAGUGCUGAAAGCAUCUAAGCACGAAACUUGCCCCGAGAUGAGUUCUCCCUGACUCCUUGAGAGUCCUGAAGGAACGUUGAAGACGACGACGUUGAUAGGCCGGGUGUGUAAGCGCAGCGAUGCGUUGAGCUAACCGGUACUAAUGAACCGUGAGGCUUAACCUU